ensembl:lncRNA
AGUUAACAUACCGAUACAUACUGCUGUAAAGAUAUGCUAUGCGUUUUGUAAGGAUAGUGUAGCUAACAUAACGUGUAACGUAACUUAUUUGAAAAGUCAUUACUUGAUUACAUUGCUCAACAUUUGUCAUAAUUAUUUAAAGCAGUUCAUGUAUAUGUCAUAUUUUGGCGAAUUUAGUACGACAUCCGGGAACUUUUGGCAUACUAACUACAUCAUACUAUGACAAAUAAGCAUACUAUAUACUCAAUUAACAUCACAAAUAGUACGGUUAGUAUGAGUAUUCUAACACAGCUCAGGUCACUGGGCAGCCAUUUUGUUUGUUUAAAAACUAGGUUGCCCCUUUAAAAAAGCAACACAACAUUCAAUCAACCAAUCUGCAGUUCAACCAAUAACAAAGCUGUAAUUACACCACUAUUUUGGAAAUAGGAUGGAUGGGGCUGGAGAAAUGUAACUACUCUCAAAUUCAUAGACAGACCUAUGGAUGCAAGGACUGACCAUCCAUGAUAUCAACAUUAUAGUUUUAACCAUGUUGAGGCUAUACAGUGUUGGUUUACAUUGUUUCUAAACAUUGGAGUAAAAAAAGCUUAUUUGGGGUUCUGAUGGGGUAAACAGUUGAACUAAGCUCAUAAGGCAUUCGUUAUAUUCUUCAAGAAUCAAUGCCUAUAAAUAAAUAAAUUAUUUAAGAGUCAAAAUAUGGAUGUAAAAUAUGGAUGUAGCAAUUGCAAAUGUCCCCUUUAACACCACACAUCAGUUCAACAACUGCAGAGUUUGUGCUUCUGUUUUUAAGACAGCACUUACUAGUGUUAAUCAGGGCCCCUUCAUCGUUAGAACCAUCGGACGCCUUAAGAUGCGCUUGGGAAACCGGGCCGAGAUAUCCAGUUUCCUCCUCUUCUUCAUUUUCCGAUGUGACAGUCACCUCCCCCUCCUCUUCGUUCACUGGAACGUCGUCGUCCCCCUCUUUAUUAACUCUGAACGAGUCUCCCACUUCUUUAACUGUGACGUCUUUCUCUUCUUUCACGGUAACCGCCUCAACCUCUACUUGUUUUUGUAUUGUAACAGCCUCCUCCUCUUUCACGAGAGCUUCCUUCUCCAUCCAGCAGACCUCCUCUUCUUCAUCAGGAACGUGGUUAAGUUUGAGACUGGAGCUCUGAGGCAUGUACUGAAGUCGCUAAGGGGUAUAAUUCAAAGCAGUCUCACUUUAUCAGCAGCACGUGAUCAAUGACGUCUGAAGAAUAAUUUCGUCGAACACCUGAUUGGUUUGGUAUUGGGCUCGUUCGACAUUGCAGCCGACAGUGCAGGUGGCUGCUGACUCAUUUACAAAUCACCUUGCAUCUUAAAUAACUACUCAUUAUUAUUUAUAAAUCAGUCAGCCAGUCACCGUUUACCCACAAUUCAGCAUGGACUUGAUGCUCUCGAUGAAGGCCAGUGGUUUAGUAGCAGACCUGAAGGCUACGGUGUUACGGUGAGGGUGAAUUUCAGAUGUUCACUGCUUGUAUUGAUGAAGUUGUGGAAUUGAUGAAGUUCCUCUGCUGUGCCCUGGAAUAGAAAGAACACGUCAUCAAUGAAGACUUUUUCAGAACCUGAUGAGAUGCUAGAAUGGAUUGUUAGGGCUGACAAUCACAUUCUUCUCUAACAACCCCACAUACAGUUACACAUAAUUAGAUGCUAUUUUUUUAAACUACAAUGACCAUAAUGACCUGAGCGCCUACUUGUCUUGUCUGUGUUUCUUUUUCACCUGCUACGUAAAAGAGACUGAAGAAUGUGUAACAGUAUAGCUUCCGUCCCUCUCCUCGCCCCUACCUGGGCUCGAACCAGGGAAUCUGCACACAUAUACAACUGCCUCCCACGAAACAUCGCUAUUAGCGCACACCCCGCUAACUAGCUAGCCAUUUCACAUCGGUUACAAAUGCACAAUGGUCAAUGCUAUCUGGGAUUCUUGGGACAUCCCUACCCUAAACCCUAACCUUAAUCCAUAACUUAACCAUUUUAAAUGUAAACUUCAAUGGGCUAGGGACGUCCCAAGGAUGUAUCGC